AUCCUGUGGUGAGGGCAUCUACGAAGAAAGUCCUUUGAAUCUUUCUCACGCCUCGUGUACGGAUUCAUCAUCCAUUUGUUAAAAAUGGUGAACUCAUUGCUCAACCU
rfam:Gossypium arboreum cultivar AKA8401 contig_11666_3, whole genome shotgun sequence.